rnacentral:tmRNA from 1 species
GGGGAUGUAUGGUUUCGACGGAAGAUGGCUCUUUAAAACUGCAGGUCGACUUCGAUUCAAAGUCGUAAAACAGAAUCAAAAAUUAAACGGCAAUAAACAAGCCGCUUACAACUACGCCUUUGCUUAAAAACAAAAGCUAGUCACUGAUUAAGUUUUCUCCUGGCGAGACUUUUUCGGUGUUAUUUAGUCAGGAUGAGAAUUUUCAGAUGUGGUUUAUCUGAAUUUUCAAAGUUUAAAAAACCUUUGUUUGAAAUUUCCCGUUUGUCGGAACAAUUUUAAGCGAGAUUUAAAGACAAACUAAACCUGUAGAAGUUUUAGGAAAAGUUUUUCGGAUCCGGGUUCAAAACUCGGCAUCUCCACUG